rnacentral:rRNA from 1 species
UACGUAGGGUGCAAGCGUUGUCCGGAAUUAUUGGGCGUAAAGAGCUCGUAGGCGGUCUGUCGCGUCGGCUGUGAAAACCCGGAGCUCAACUCCGGGCCUGCAGUCGAUACGGGCAGACUGGAGUUCGGCAGGGGAGACUGGAAUUCCUGGUGUAGCGGUGAAAUGCGCAGAUAUCAGGAGGAAUACCGGUGGUGUAGACGGCUCUCUGGACCGCCACUGACGCUGAGACACGAAAGCGUGGGUAGCAAACAGG